UGCCGCCCCACCGUCUCGGGCGGGUGCCAGGGCCUGCGGCUAGCCGGUGCGGCCGCGCCGAUCGCGCACCGUGACGUCCACUCUUCUCCCGCCUCGCGCGGGGGUCGGUUCGACGACGCGGUCGCUCGGCGCCGCUUUUAUCUAGCCGUCCGCCACCUCGGGUCAGCGACGUGCAUCGGCAACCCACCCGACCCGUCUUGAAACACGGACCGAGGAGUCCUGGCCGUUCGCGAGUCGUAGGGGCCCAUUUGACUAACCCCGGAGGCGUAGCGAAAGCGAGAGAGCGUGUCGGAGGGCUCCGGGCCGGGAGAGGUGUCGCGGCGAAGUCGCGGGAUUGGGUUCCGCUCAUCCCCCGCUUCCGAGCUGCGCCCGAUUCCGCCGGGGCGGCGUCCCCGCCAAUUCCAAUCCCCGUCGUUAACGUCGCCGCACUCGUGUCGGUGGCGACCGGACUCCCGCAAGGGAGGAAGGUUUCGGCGGUGGCGGAGGGGGCGUCACUCUCCUCCUUCCGCCCGUCGGUGAGAUCCCGCGCGCGACAGACCGUGCGCGGGCGCACCACCCCCGGGUCGGAUUUCCGAGUACGACUCGGCCGACUCUGGUGUAGCGAGCGGCCAGGGACCCGAAAGAUGGCGAUCCACGCCCGGUCGGGAUGAAGCCAGAGG
rnacentral:rRNA from 1 species